AGAACGAACGCUGGCGGCAUGCCUAACACAUGCAAGUCGAACGAGACCUUCGGGUCUAGUGGCGCACGGGUGCGUAACGCGUGGGAAUCUGCCCUUGGGUUCGGAAUAACAGCGAGAAAUUGCUGCUAAUACCGGAUGAUGACGUAAGUCCAAAGAUUUAUCGCCCAAGGAUGAGCCCGCGUAGGAUUAGCUUGUUGGUGAGGUAAGAGCUCACCGAAGGCGACGAUCCUUAGCUGGUCUGAGAGGAUGAUCAGCCACGACUGGGACUGAGACACGGCCCAGACUCCGUACGGGAGGCAGCGAGGUGGGAAUAGUUGGACAAGUGGGACGAAGCCUGA
rnacentral:rRNA from 1 species